rnacentral:lncRNA from 1 species
CUCAACUAUAGAACUAUAACAACUGUAGUUUAGGAACACGGGUAUGUGGUAUUGAACAUCAAUCGGACUGUCCGCUAACCCCAAGUGACUAAAGUUAUUUGGUCCUUCGGUUGAAGUUUGACGAAAGUGGGCUGCCUAUUUUUAUAAACGAUUAGCCAAAAUGCCUGUUGGACCAUUGAAAAUGUUCGGCAGAAAACACGUUGAACAACUAAGCAGAUGGGUACCUACGUUGAUGACCUUUGGUGCCGCUUCAGGUCUAGGUGUUCUAUACUUUACUGAAUGGAAAGAAGUUCUCCAAUACGUGCCAGUUUGGAAUUUAAAAUACCGCGAAGAGUAACGGAACAGUUGCAUGUAUAAACGAAACAAUAUUACUACUAGUCGAUCAGCGUUUUCGCGUUAGAACGAUUACUGAGAAAGUUUAAAUAAUGUAAUUUGCCAGGUACAUAGAAUAAUUGUGACAAAUGUUAAGAUAAAACUAUGUAAGAUCCUA